AGUGAACGCUGGCGGUAGGCCUAACACAUGCAAGUCGAACGGCAGCACAGUAAGAGCUUGCUCUUACGGGUGGCGAGUGGCGGACGGGUGAGGAAUACAUCGGAAUCUACUUUUUCGUGGGGGAUAACGUAGGGAAACUUACGCUAAUACCGCAUACGACCUACGGGUGAAAGCAGGGGAUCUUCGGACCUUGCGCGAUUGAAUGAGCCGAUGUCGGAUUAGCUAGUUGGCGGGGUAAAGGCCCACCAAGGCGACGAUCCGUAGCUGGUCUGAGAGGAUGAUCAGCCACACUGGAACUGAGACACGGUCCAGACUCCUACGGGAGGCAGCAGUGGGGAAUAUUGGACAAUGGGCGAAAGCAUGAUCCAGCCAUACCGCGUGGGUGAAGAAGGACUUCGGGUUGUAAAGCCCUUUUGGUGGGAAAGAAAAGCAGCAGGUUAAUACCCCGCUGUUCUGACGGUACCCAAAGAAUAAGCACCGGCUAACUUCGUG
rnacentral:rRNA from 1 species